GGGGAGUGACGGAUCCUGGGCUGUGUCCCCUGGCGCCCUGGGUUCUGGCGCCUGCGCUGCUGGAUUUGUGCUCCUAGGCCGCAGCAGCUCCCU
rnacentral:pre_miRNA from 1 species